AUAAAUUCUAGCUCGUUUACGAGCUUAACUAUAGACUAAGUUAUAACGUAACUCAAAACUAAACAAGAACUUAAAUUUUGAUGACACCGUAUCAAAACAAAACUAACUCCGUCUUCUAAAGAGCUCCACGAAAUAUCACCUUGAAAAAUUAAUAAGAAAUCAACAUGGCAAGGCGGCCCUUAUCUCGGUUCACGAAAAUUAAUAUCGGAUGGGGUAUUCUUGUUGUGGUUGGCAUAACAAGUUUUGCCGUUGCCAGGACAUUGGUUCAAAACCAGCGCUAUGAAGUGAUGAAGAGUAAACAGAGAGUUCGAGAUGCCUGUAAACAAGAUGUUUUGGAUGCAGAGGCUAAAACAGUAUCCUAGCAUUUGCACAAUAUACACCAAGUGCAUCUAGUUUUCAUGAGUUGCUGGAGAACUAUUUAGAAUGAAGCCAGUAUCUCUUUCUGGAGUAAAUGGCUUAUUCAAGAAAGGUUUCUAACAAUCGUUUUAAUAGUGAGAAAAGUGCUAAGGGCCAAAUAAGUUUGGCCAAAUCUCUGAACUGACUUUCAAUUUCCAAUUGCUGUAAUGCAAUUGGAAAUGUGUAUGCAUCAUAAAACAUCAUUUUGAUGUCAAUAUAUGUAUGUAUGCAUGUACAUAUGUAUGUAACCUCUUACCCUUCAUAUGCACUCACAUGGAAUGUAAAAUGAAAACAUGGGUGUUUAAAGAAAUGAAAUUGUAGAAAAUUGAUUUAUGAGAAGUUUUUUUCACAGAUGUGUUAUUGUGAUAAUAAUUAAAUUAUUUCUGGCUUUCAGGCUCAUCUUUUCAUACAGUUAUGUUUAACUGUUUUCAGUACCCACUCGCCUGCCUAAAACUGCUUAUAUUAAAACAUUCAUAUCUUAAAUUCUCAAUCCAGAUUUCAUUAUUACAUGAGUAAAAUACAAAAUUUCAGCAGUUAAA
rnacentral:lncRNA from 1 species